GGAAGAAGCUGGAGGAGGACGUGAGGGGGAGAAGGGCCUUGUGAGCAGGAUGUGUCUCUCUCCCUAUCCACACUACAGUCACUCACAUUUGCAUCAGCCGUAGCAAGUGGGAAAAGCAGCUACACUGGCUCCAGUUCAACUUGUGCCUUCCAGGCGUGAUCAUCCCAGGCUGCAGGAGAGCAGCAAAUGGCCACAGCACAUCUGUGUCAGGAGCCCGUGAGCUUUGCGGAGGUGGCCGUGUAUUUCAGCAGGGAGGAGUGGGCGCUGCUGGACCCUGCGCAGCGAGCGCUCUACCGGGACGUGAUGCUGGAGACGUACCAGUGCGUGGCCUGGCUGGGUGAGGGCUUUGCUGCCUUUCCUCCUCGUUAGGGCUCCUUUGGUUGUGCAGGAUGA